UACGUAGGUGACAAGCGUUGUCCGGAUUUACUGGGCGUAAAGGGCGCGUAGGCGGCCUUCUAAGUCGAACGUGAAAUCCCCGGGCUCAACCCGGGAACUGCGUCCGAUACUGGAAGGCUUGAAUCCGGGAGAGGGAUGCGGAAUUCCAGGUGUAGCGGUGAAAUGCGUAGAUAUCUGGAGGAACACCGGUGGCGAAGGCGGCAUCCUGGACCGGUAUUGACGCUGAGGCGCGAAAGCCAGGGGAGCAAACGGG
rnacentral:rRNA from 1 species